UACGUAGGUGGCAAGCGUUGUCCGGAUUUAUUGGGUUUAAAGGGUGCGUAGGCGGUUGCUUAAGUCAGAGGUGAAAGACGGCCGCUCAACGGUCGCAGUGCCUUUGAUACUGGGUGUCUUGAGUGCAGACGAGGUCUGUGGAAUGGAUGGUGUAGCGGUGAAAUGCUUAGAUACCAUCCAGAACACCAAUUGCGAAGGCAGCAGACUAGGGUGCAACUGACGCUGAGGCACGAAAGUGCGGGGAGCAAACAGG
rnacentral:rRNA from 1 species